UACAGAGGUCCCAAGCGUUGUUCGGAUUCACUGGGCGUAAAGGGUGCGUAGGCGGUCGGGUAAGUCUGAUGUGAAAUCUCACAGCUUAACUGUGAAACUGCAUUGGAUACUAUCCGGCUCGAGGAAUGGAGGGGAGACUGGAAUACUUGGUGUAGCAGUGAAAUGCGUAGAUAUCAAGUGGAACACCAGUGGCGAAGGCGAGUCUCUGGACAUCUCCUGACGCUGAGGCACGAAAGCCAGGGGAGCAAACGGG
rnacentral:rRNA from 1 species